GAAGAGGAAAGUCGUAACAAGGUAAGUCUACCGGAAGGUGGCCUUGGGACAGGAUAUAGCUUAAACAAAGCAUUUUGCUUACACCAAAAAAACAUCGGCCAUGCGAUUGUCCUGAAUUGUAAAUUUAGCCUAAUUUACACAACCUUUAUAUACCUUAACUAAAUCAUUCAUAAAAGAUAGUAUGGGCGACAGAAAACUUAUUAGCGCAAUAAACAAAGUACUGUAAAGGAAAGAUGAAAUAGAAAUAAAAUAAUCAUAAAAAUAUAUUAAAGCAUAGAUUAAUACCAAUACCUUUUGCAUCAUGGUCUAGCAAGUAUAAACCUAUAAAAAGAAUUUAACAGGAUACCCCGAAACCAGACGAGCUACCUUAAGGCAACAUAUAUGUCACUUCCCCCUCUGUAGCAAAAGAGCGGAAAGACCUUUAGGUAGAGGCAAAAAACCAAACGAGCCUGGAUAUAGCUGGUUGCUUGAGAACAGAACUUAAGUUCACAAAAAAGUAGUCACACCAACAAGGAAAAAAUACAACUUUUGGCCUAAUCAAUUAGGUUACAGCCUAAUUAAUAAGGGAAACAACCCAAAUACAUGAACAAGGAUUAUAAUUUUUAAGAAAAUAAGCUUAGUAGGCCUAAAAGCAGCCACCCAAAUAGCGUCAAAGCUUAACUUAUAAAACAUCAACUAUACCAAUAAAUAAACCAAAUUCAACAAAACAAUCAAGCUAUUCUACUAUUAGAUAAACUACUGCUGGAAUAAGUAAUAAGGACCACCCUCCAAAUACGAACAUAAAUCAGAACGAACCAAUCACUGAUAAUUAAUGAACAUAUUUAUAAGACCAAGAACCAAAUAAUAAAAUCCAUUAACUCAACACAGAAGUAUUUAAGGAAAGACUAAAAGUCUAGGAAGGAACUCGGCAAACAUAGGCUUCGCCUGUUUACCAAAAACAUCGCCUUUUGAAAUAUUAAUAUAAAAGGUCCUGCCUGCCCAGUGACAUUUGUUUCAACGGCCGCGGUAUCAUGACCGUGCAAAGGUAGCGUAAUCACUUGUCUUUUAAAUUAAGACCAGUAUGAAUGGCAAAACGAAAGCCUUACUGUCUCCCCAGAUUAGUCAAUGAAAUUGAUCUUCCCGUGCAGAAGCGGGAAUAUGAAUAUAAGACGAGAAGACCCUGUGGAGCUUUAAACUUAAGCUACAAUCACUCACUUAGUAUAUAGUUUUAGGUUGGGGCGACCAUGAGGUAAAACACAACCCUCAAGAAUAAAAACAAGAAGGACACUUCAAACAAUUAAAAUUAAUAUAUUGACCCAAUAAUUGAUCAACGAACCAAGUUACCCCAGGGAUAACAGCGCAAUCUACUCAAAGAGCCCCUAUCGACGAGCAGGUUUACGACCUCGAUGUUGGAUCAGGACCCCCAAGUAAUGUAAAAAUUAUUAAAGGUUC
rnacentral:rRNA from 1 species